rnacentral:rRNA from 1 species
UACGUAGGGGGCUAGCGUUGUCCGGAAUCAUUGGGCGUAAAGAGCGUGUAGGCGGCCCGGUAAGUCCGCUGUGAAAGUCGGGGGCUCAACCCUCGAAUGCCGGUGGAUACUGUCGGGCUAGAGUGCGGAAGAGGCGAGUGGAAUUCCUGGUGUAGCGGUGAAAUGCGCAGAUAUCAGGAGGAACACCAGCGGCGAAGGCGGCGCUCUGGGCUGGAACUGACGCUGAGGAGCGAAAGCGUGGGGAGCGAACAGG